rnacentral:rRNA from 1 species
AUUGAACGCUGGCGGCAGGCCUAACACAUGCAAGUCGAGCGAGCGGCGGACGGGUGAGUAAUGUAUGGGGACUGCCCGAUAGAGGGGGAUAACUACUGGAAACGGUAGCUAAUACCGCAUACUAUCGGAUAACCCAUAUGGGAUUAGCUAGUAGGUGAGGUAAUGGCUCACCUAGGCGACGUACCCUAGCUGUUCUGAGAUGAUGAUCAGCCACACUGGGACGGUGACACUGCCCAGACUCCUACGGAGGCAGCAGUGGGGAAUAUUGCACAAUGGGCGCAAGCCUGAUGCAGCCAUGCCGGGUAUAUGAAGAAGGCCCUAGGGUUGUAAAGUACUUUCAGUCGGGAGGCGUUACCGACAGAAGAAGCACCGGCUAACUCCGUGCCAGCAGCCGCGGUAAUAC